GUGGGGAAUAUUGGACAAUGGGCGCAAGCCUGAUCCAGCCAUGCCGCGUGAGUGAUGAAGGCCUUAGGGUUGUAAAGCUCUUUCAGUGGGGACGAUAAUGACGGUACCCACAGAAGAAGCCCCGGCUAACUUCGUGCCAGCAGCCGCGGUAAUACGAAGGGGGCUAGCGUUGUUCGGAUUUACUGGGCGUAAAGCGCACGUAGGCGGAUCGUUAAGUCGGGGGUGAAAUCCUGGAGCUCAACUCCAGAACUGCCUUCGAUACUGGCGAUCUUGAGUCCGGAAGAGGUGAGUGGAACGACGAGUGUAGAGGUGGAAUUCGUAGAUAGUAGGAAGAACACCAGUGGCGAAGGCGGCUCACUGGUCCGGUACUGACGCUGAGGUGCGAAAGCGUGGGGAGCAAACAGGAUUAGAAACCCUAGGUAGUCC
rnacentral:rRNA from 1 species